AAGACAUUAGUAAAAUGAAAAUUACAUCACCUUGUCAAGAUGAAAUUACAGGUUAAACUCCUG
rnacentral:tRNA from 1 species